rnacentral:rRNA from 1 species
GGCCAUGGGCUUUGGGGCGGCGAUGCCUGAUUAGCUAGUUGGUGAGGUAAAGGCUUACCAAGGCGACGAUCAGUAGCUGGUCUGAGAGGACGACCAGCCACACUGGGACUGAGACACGGCCCAGACUCCUACGGGAGGCAGCAGUGGGGAAUUUUGGACAAUGGGGGAAACCCUGAUCCAGCCAUGCCGCGUGAGUGAAGAAGGCCUUCGGGUUGUAAAGCUCUUUCAGCCGGAACGAAACGGUCACGGCUAAUACCCGUGACUACUGACGGUACCGGAAGAAGAAGCACCGGCUAACUACGUGCCAGCAGCCGCGGUAAUACGUAGGGUGCAAGCGUUAAUCGGAAUUACUGGGCGUAAAGCGUGCGCAGGCGGUUUUGUAAGUCAGAUGUGAAAUCCCCGGGCUUAACCUGGGAACUGCGUUUGAAACUACAAAGCUAGA